rnacentral:rRNA from 1 species
UACAGAGACUGCAAGCGUUGUUCGGAUUCAUUGGGCGUAAAGGGUGCGCAGGCGGUGUGUUAAGUCGGAUGUGAAAUCUCACAGCCUAACUGUGAUAGGUCAUUCGAAACUGGCAUGCUCGAGGACUGGAGAGGAGACUGGAAUGGUCGGUGUAGCAGUGAAAUGCGUAGAUAUCGUAAGGAACGCCAGUGGCGAAAGCGAGCCUCUAGAUAGUCAGCUGACGCUGAGGCACGAAAGCCAGGGGAGCAAACGGG